GUAAAGAAUCUUGUGGUUUUCACUUUAUUCCAUUAACCAUUUCAUGUCUACACGCACACUAGCCCCAUUGAAGUAACACUGUUAACAUGUCACUUUAGUCUGAGCUUCAGCCUAUUCUCACAAUGGAGAGAUUACAUAAUAUACAGACAGCACCUCAUUCUUCUUUUGCAAAACGUGGGAGCCUUAGCUUGACAAAUGCCCAACCGAAUUUAUGUUCUUUGACUAAAACAGCCGUUUUCCCAUCCCUGCUAUUAACACUGCUAUUUUAACUUGAAUAGCAAUUACAGUGGUGUGUGUUUUGUGUUUGUUUUUUAGUACUUGUGGUUUAAGGCUUGUUAUUUUGUGGUAUGAGUGAUCAUCGGUCAAACAACACGGUGACUAGUAUAAUAGUCAUAUAGUGACUUUGACCAAAUACCUUGAAAAUCAUGAGUGGAGACUUGCAGAUGUUAUUUAUCAUAUACUGAAUUGAAAUUAAAUUAAAAAUUUAAUUACAAAAUUGAGCCACAAAUAGUUUACUGGAAAUAUUCUUCAGCUCAGCUAUAGUCAAAGCUUGGCUAUUUUAGUUUACAUUUGCAAUUCAUGUUUCAGUUUAUUACAAUUCAGUGUUCAAUGAAUAAUAAUUUGAAGGGCUGGG